AAUGAACGCUGGCGGCGUGCCUAACACAUGCAAGUCGAACGAAAGCACGGGAAGCUCGUGCUCUUGCGGGUGGCGGGGGACGGGCGAGUAACAAAUGGAUAACAUACCUCUAAGACGGGGGUGAUAACGGGGAAAAAGAUAUACUAACAGAGCAUAUUUCGAACCGGAUGGAUCAAGAGUUAUAGGGGGCCUUCGUGAUACAAAGAGACGGUGCCGGAUUGGAUUAGCUAGUUGGUAAGGUAACGGCUUACCAAGGCGACGAAGCGUAGCCGAUCUGAGAGGAUGAUCAGCCACACUGGAACUGAGACACGGUCCAGACUCCUACGGGAGGCAGCAGUGGGGAAUCUUGCGCAAUGGGCGAAAGCCUGAUCCAGCAAUACCGCGUGAGUGAUGAAGGUCUUCGGGUUGUAAAGCUCUGUUGUUGGGAAAGAACAUAAGCAUGUUUACCCGUGGCUAUUUUGACGGUACCUAAAGAAUAAGCCCCGGCUAACUUCGUG
rnacentral:rRNA from 1 species